AUUGAACGCUGGCGGCAGGCCUAACACAUGCAAGUCGAGCGGAUGAAGGGAGCUUGCUCCUGGAUUCAGCGGCGGGCGGGUGAGUAAUGCCUAGGAAUCUGCCUGGUAGUGGGGGAUAACGUCCGGAAACGGGCGCUAAUACCGCAUACGUCCUGAGGGAGAAAGUGGGGGAUCUUCGGACCUCACGCUAUCAGAUGAGCCUAGGUCGGAUUAGCUAGUUGGUGGGGUAAAGGCCUACCAAGGCGACGAUCCGUAACUGGUCUGAGAGGAUGAUCAGUCACACUGGAACUGAGACACGGUCCAGACUCCUACGGGAGGCAGCAGUGGGGAAUAUUGGACAAUGGGCGAAAGCCUGAUCCAGCCAUGCCGCGUGUGUGAAGAAGGUCUUCGGAUUGUAAAGCACUUUAAGUUGGGAGGAAGGGAAGUAAGUUAAUACCUUGCUGUUUUGACGUUACCAACAGAAUAAGCAACGGCUAACUUCGUG
rnacentral:rRNA from 1 species